GACGAACGCUGGCGGCGUGCCUAAUACAUGCAAGUAGGACGCAGUUGCGAACGGGUGAGUAACGCGUAGGUAACUACCUAUUAGAGGGGGAUAACUAUUGGAAACGAUAGCCAAUACCGCAUACUAGUAGAUGGACCUGCGUUGUAUUAGCUAGUAGGUAGGGUAAUGGCCUAACGAGGCAACGAUACAUAGCCGACAUGAGAGGGGGAGUGGCCACACUGGGACUGAGACACGACCCAGAGUCCUACGGGAGGGAGAAGUAGGGAAUUUUCGGCAAUGGGAGGAAGCCUGACCGAGAAACGCCGCGUGAGUGAAGAAGGUUGUCGGAUCGUAAAGCUCUGUUGUUAAGGAAGCGGUACUUAACCAGAAAGGGACGGCUAACUACGUGCCAGCAGCCGCGGUAAUUC
rnacentral:rRNA from 1 species